GCUGCCCCCCAAGGGCCUUGAUCUCACCCGCCUGAGCUCCUGACCCCAGCUCACAACAAUAGUCAGACGUUUCCCGGACGGCGUCACCGCCCUUCUUGACCAUCAUUCCUCUUUUCUUUGGGCGCAGGAACCACUCUAGGUCCUCGGAGUGAACCUUCUGGGACAGGUGUUGGCAGGAGUCCGGUUGCCACGACCCUGGAAGCUGGCAGCGUGGGCAGGACCGCAGGGGGCCCCGGCUUCACCAGUCCUGUGCCCAUAGCAGGAACUCCAGAACGUUCCGGGGGCUUCAUAGAAGUACCUGGUAGUGGGAGCACACUUGGAAACCCCAGCACGGCAGGGACGACCUUGCGGUUCAGAGGAGGAACCACUCUAGGUGUUCGGAGUGAACCUUCUGGGACAGGUGUUGGCGGGAGUCCGGUGGCCACGACCCUGGAAGCUGGCAGCGUGGGCAGGACCGCAGGGGGCCCUGGCUUCACCAGUCCUGGGCACCUAGCAGUGACCUCAGAAGGUUCAGAGUCCUUCAGAAAAGCAUCGGGGUUUGAGGACACAAGUGGUGUCCCAACUGCUCCAAGUUCAUCCUUGGGCGUCAGACAAGUAAGUACAUCUGAAACAUCUGGUGGUGUAACCAGUGGAGAUGAAAAUAAACCUGCAUCACCCAGCAGCAGUACUACAAGCUCUUCAGAUAAACCAGGUGAGAUUAGCUAAACACAAAAAGUCACAAAUAUCAGAUAUUUAUUUAGUUGGACAUCCUUCCUGCUUAAA
rnacentral:lncRNA from 12 species